rnacentral:rRNA from 1 species
GGACCCGCACAAGUAGUGGAGCAUGUGGUUUAAUUCGAAGAUACGCGCAGAACCUUACCAACACUUGACAUGUUCGUCGCGACUUUAAGAGAUUAAAGUUUUCGGUUCGGCCGGACGAAACACAGGUGCUGCAUGGCUGUCGUCAGCUCGUGUCGUGAGAUGUUGGUUAAGUCCCGCAACGAGCGCAACCCUCACUUUUAGUUGCCAUCAUUAAGUUGGGCACUCUGAAAGAACUGCCAGUGAUAAGCUGGAGGAAGGUGGGGAUGACGUCAAGUCCUCAUGGCCCUUACGUGUUGGGCUACACACGUGCUACAAUGGUAUCUACAACAGGAAGCAAGACGGCGACGUUAAGCAAA